UACGUAUGGUGCAAGCGUUAUCCGGAUUUACUGGGUGUAAAGGGAGCGUAGACGGCUGUGCAAGUCUGAAGUGAAAGCCCGGGGCUCAACCCCGGGACUGCUUUGGAAACUGUGCAGCUGGAGUGCCGGAGAGGUAAGCGGAAUUCCUAGUGUAGCGGUGAAAUGCGUAGAUAUUAGGAGGAACACCAGUGGCGAAGGCGGCUUACUGGACGGUAACUGACGUUGAGGCUCGAAAGCGUGGGGAGCAAACAGGAUUAGAUACCCUGGUAGUCCACGCCGUAAACGAUGACUACUAGGUGUCGGGCAGCAAAGCUGUUCGGUGCCGCAGCAAACGCAAUAAGUAGUCCACCUGGGGAGUACGUUCGCAAGAAUGAA
rnacentral:rRNA from 1 species